UCCUACGGGAGGCAGCAGUGGGGAAUAUUGCACAAUGGGCGCAAGCCUGAUGCAGCCAUGCCGCGUGUAUGAAGAAGGCCUUCGGGUUGUAAAGUACUUUCAGCGGGGAGGAAGGGGGUAAGGUUAAUAACCUAGUCAUGACGUACCCGCAGA
rnacentral:rRNA from 1 species